rnacentral:misc_RNA from 1 species
GAGAAUUUUGGUUAGUCGAAAGACUUUCCUAAUACUUUAUUCCAUAAACACCUGUGCACCUUUUUUAUAUUAUGUUGGAUGUUGUUAGCUAUUAGUCGAAAGGCGAACGCAACCUCAUCUGAUGUAAAACACUACAAACAUAUUAGUCUUGAAUGUAAAAUAAAUUGUAACAAAAAUA